UUCACUUCUCGACUCAACCUGGAAGGGUAAUGACAUCCGGGAGGAGAGAAUGAGACAAGAUGCAACCCCGUUAUAAGCAGGGGACGAGUAAGCAGAAAAAGUGUAACUAAUCCAUCCAUCCCACCAGACCUUUUGGAUGGAACCCAUGUUGCUGGCACGAGAGGGAUCAAUGGACCUAUCACCCUGAAUUAGAUGUUCCUCUAUCCAAUCCCACGGGGAGAGGUAUUAGCCUCAGCCUCCAAUAUGGAACACCGACGAAUCUUAGAAAUCAC
rnacentral:lncRNA from 1 species